GGGAGGAGCUUGCUCCGCCCCGACGACGAGUGGCGAACGGGUGAGUAAUACAUCGGAACGUGUCCGCUCGUGGGGGACAACCAGCCGAAAGGUUGGCUAAUACCGCAUGAGUUCUACGGAAGAAAGAGGGGGACCCGCAAGGGCCUCUCGCGAGCGGAGCGGCCGAUGACUGAUUAGCCAGUUGGUGAGGUAACGGCUCACCAAAGCAACGAUCAGUAGCUGGUCUGAGAGGACGACCAGCCACACUGGGACUGAGACACGGCCCAGACUCCUACGGGAGGCAGCAGUGGGGAAUUUUGGACAAUGGGCGCAAGCCUGAUCCAGCUAUUCCGCGUGUGGGAUGAAGGCCCUCGGGUUGUAAACCACUUUUGUAGAGAACGAAAAGACACCAUCGAAUAAAUGGUGUUGCUGACGGUACUCUAAGAAUAAGCACCGGCUAACUACGUGCCAGCAGCCGCGGUAAUACGUAGGGUGCGAGCGUUAAUCGGAAUUACUGGGCGUAAAGGGUGCGCAGGCGGUUGAGUAAGACAGAUGUGAAAUCCCCGAGCUUAACUCGGGAAUGGCAUAUGUGACUGCUCGACUGGAGUGUGUCAGAGGGAGGUGGAAUUCCACGUGUAGCAGUGAAAUGCGUAGAUAUGUGGAAGAAACCGAUGGCGAAGGCAGCCUCCGGGGACAUAACUGACGC
rnacentral:rRNA from 1 species